UGCGGCUAAAGACACGCAGCUAGCUUUACUGAUUGAGUGUGACAAGGGACGGAUUGAUGUCUAGCAAGAUAUAUUUAAACGAAGUCUAUGAAAAGCAUUCGACAAUCCAGAAUCGACCCACCCUCUCUGAUCGAAGUAACCAAGUCUCGAAGCAUGCCAAGAAGAUUCCGUCCAGAUUCUCUGUUGUCGGCUGAAUUCCUGAUUGUUGUUUCUAAGUUAUUUGGGGACGUAAGAGAGGUGCAAUUGUAUCCCCUAGACCGUCUCUGCUUUGUGUUCGAUAAGCGUGGGCUCAUUUCUGUGUAUGUUUUUGCUUUAUUUUCCUUCAGCAAGGGCUUAUCCGAUGCCUAUUCUACGAUGAACUGUGUUUCGUAGUUAAUAAACAAAUUGCUUUGUCUUUGCCA